ACGGGAGGAUCAAGAAGGCUGAGUCUGUUGAAGCAAGGCAUUGCUGGUACACUCCUCCUAGAAAAAGGGGUCAGAGAGCAGCCCUCGCUGGAGAAAGCCAGGCUUGCUUGUGCUCCCCAGCACUU